UACGAAGGGGGCUAGCGUUGCUCGGAAUCACUGGGCGUAAAGGGUGCGUAGGCGGGUCUUUUAAGUCAGGGGUGAAAUCCUGGAGCUCAACUCCAGAACUGCCUUUGAUACUGAAGAUCUUGAGUUCGGGAGAGGUGAGUGGAACUGCGAGUGUAGAGGUGAAAUUCGUAGAUAUUCGCAAGAACACCAGUGGCGAAGGCGGCUCACUGGCCCGAAACUGACGCUGAGGCACGAAAGCGUGGGGAGCAAAGCAGG
rnacentral:rRNA from 1 species